AAAGGAAAGGAGAGACCCAUGGGCCUUGGCAGCAAUUAAGUGAAGGCAAUCUAUUCCACACACAACGAAAUGAAAACGUACAACUCAGAUAAGGGCUCCUAGGAGAAAGAAGUCCAUGGAACUACGAGAGUGUGACAUGAGCAGAGCUGACCUGUUAGAGCAGCCAGGCUCUCCUAAGGAAGGUGAACUCAAGCUGUAAUAGGAAUGUAUGACAGGCCCUUCUUGUGUGUGAUCUGGGAAUGGCAGCUUCAGGUUUAUUGGAAAUCCAUCA